CGCCUAACACAUGCAAGCCGAGCGAGACCUUCGGGUCUAGCGGCGGACGGGUUAGUAACGCGUGGGAACGUACCUUUUGCUUCGGAAUAGCCUCGGGAAACUGGGAGUAAUACCGAAUGUGCCCUUUGGGGGAAAGAUUUAUCGGCAAAAGAUCGGCCCGCGUCUGAUUAGAUAGUUGGUGGGGUAAUGGCCUACCAAGUCUGCGAUCAGUAGCUGGUUUGAGAGGAUGAUCAGCAACACUGGGACUGAGACACGGCCCAGACUCCUACGGGAGGCAGCAGUGGGGAAUCUUAGACAAUGGGCGCAAGCCUGAUCUAGCGAUGCCGCGUGAGUGACGAAGGCCUUAGGGUCGUAAAGCUCUUUCGCCAGGGAUGAUAAUGACAGUACCUGGUAAAGAAACCCCGGCUAACUCCGUGCCAGCAGCCGCGGUAAUACGGAGGGGGUUAGCGUUGUUCGGAAUUACUGGGCGUAAAGCGCACGUAGGCGGAUUAGAAAGUUGGGGGUGAAAUCCCAGGGCUCAACCCUGGAACUGCCUCCAAAACUACUAGUCUAGAGUUCGAGAGAGGUGAGUGGAAUUCCGAG
rnacentral:rRNA from 1 species